rnacentral:rRNA from 1 species
AUGGAGGUAGUAGUGGUUUUUCUACACUGCAUUAUGUGUGGAAGUCAUGUUGUGAAGAAUAGAACCAAACUGACGCUUAACCCAUUUAUGGUUGCGAUCCACCUUCUGGUGAAGACUUAUCAGCAGUUCACGAUCAGUCAGCACACGAGGAGUAGUAUCUUGAGGACUUGUCUGGGUAGCAUUGACAGCAGUAUCAUGAGUGCCAGAGUCAUCAUUGGUGGAGUAAGAUGCAGCUUUGCGGAACUGACCAUCCAAUGGACGGAUGCCUUCAUCGAUCACGGCUGGGGACUUGCCCUUCUCAUCACAUGA